rnacentral:misc_RNA from 1 species
AAGUCAUAACAAGGUUUCUGUAGGUGAACCUGCAGAAGGAUCAUUAGUGAAUGCUGGUCGCGGAUUCGUCCCGACCUUUUCUUUUCCUUUUGACACACCUGUGCACCGGUGGCGGCCUUGCAAAAGGCCCUGCCAACAUUUCUAUUACACACAAAAAGUCAUGAACGUAAAAUUAUCAUAACAAAGAUAACUUUUGACAACGGAUCUCUUGGUUCUC